CCUAAGAGAUACGUGUUAUGUGAAGUGCUCACACAGAUUGUCUGAUGAAGAACGAGCAGAGAUACCGGUAUAGGCUUGUAGCUCAGGUGGUUAGAGCGCACCCCUGAUAAGGGUGAGGUCGGUGGUUCAAGUCCACUCAGGCCUACCACUUUUCCUUUAUGCUGUGUUGUGAAGCAACUCGUUUACAUUAAGUAAACUUCGUUACUCCACGCCUUGCCUAAAGAAAAAGCUUCUUAUUAUAAGAAGAAAAAGGAGUGGUUAUACGGGUAUUAAAAUAUUAUGGGGCUAUAGCUCAGCUGGGAGAGCGCCUGCCUUGCACGCAGGAGGUCAGCGGUUCGAUCCCGCUUAGCUCCACCAUAAUCUCUUGAAUAUAAAACAAUGAUUCAGAGUAUAUUAGGAAUAGUAUACUGCGAAUUAUUAUGCUCUUUAACAAUCUGGAACAAGCUGAAAAAUUGAAAACAAAUCAAUAUAUCAACGAGGUAUAUUGGUGAGUCUCUCAAAAUCUCAAACCUUAAAGUUUGUCACGCAAAGUUUAUCUUUGAAAAAGACACUUUUGGGUUGUGA
rnacentral:misc_RNA from 1 species